rnacentral:rRNA from 1 species
AAACUUUCAACAACGGAUCUCUUGGCUCUCGCAUCGAUGAAGAACGCAGCGAAAUGCGAUAAGUAAUGUGAAUUGCAGAAUUCAGUGAAUCAUCGAAUCUUUGAACGCACAUAGCGCCCUUUGGUAUUCCUUAGGGCAUACCUGUUCGAGCGUCACU